rnacentral:rRNA from 1 species
UACGUAGGGUGCGAGCGUUAAUCGGAAUUACUGGGGGUAAAGCGCACGUAGGCGGCUUUGUAAGUAAGAGGUGGAAGCCUGGUGCUCAACACCAGAACUGCCUUUUAGACUGCAUCGCUUGAAUCCAGGAGAGGUGAGUGGAAUUCCGAGUGUAGAGGUGAAAUUCGUAGAUAUUCGGAAGAACACCAGUGGCGAAGGCGGCUCACUGGACUGGUAUUGACGCUGAGGUGCGAAAGCGUGGGGAGCAAACAGG